rnacentral:rRNA from 1 species
GACGAACGCUGGCGGCGUGCUUAACACAUGCAAGUCGAACGGAAAGGCCCUGCUUGCAGGGUACUCGAGUGGCGAACGGGUGAGUAACACGUGGGUGAUCUGCCCUGCACUUCGGGAUAAGCCUGGGAAACUGGGUCUAAUACCGGAUAGGAGCCAUUUUUAGUGUGAUGGUUGGAAAGUUUUUUCGGUGUAGGAUGAGCUCGCGGCCUAUCAGCUUGUUGGUGGGGUAGUGGCCUACCAAGGCGGCGACGGGUAGCCGGCCUGAGAGGGUGGACGGCCACAUUGGGACUGAGAUACGGCCCAGACUCCUACGGGAGGCAGCAGUGGGGAAUAUUGCACAAUGGGCGCAAGCCUGAUGCAGCGACGCCGCGUGGGGGAUGACGGCCUUCGGGUUGUAAACUCCUUUCGCUAGGGACGAAGCUUUUUGUGACGGUACCUAGAUAAGAAGCACCGGCUAACUACGUG